UGAGUUCCACUGUAUGGAUGAGCAGGGGGGCCAACUGUAGGAACAGGCUGUUGCCCCAGAAUAGAAGGCCCAGGGUUCAACAUGGAGGUAAUAGGAAUUGUAUAGUCUCUACUCCGAUCAUUAUUAACCUUUAUACUAAGAUCGUUAUGGCGAGAAUACGUGAUGUGAAGUUUACAAAACCCUCCAUCAUAGAUGCAGUGUCC
rnacentral:misc_RNA from 1 species